AAUAUUGGACAAUGGGGGCAACCCUGAUCCAGCCAUGCCGCGUGUGUGACGAAGGUCUUCGGAUUGUAAAGCACUUUAAGUUGGUAGGAAGGGCUUUAGGCUAAUACCCUGAAGUAUUGACGUUACCAACAGAAUAAGCACCGGCUAACUCUGUCCCAGCAGCCGCGGUAAUACAGACGGUGCAAGCGUUAAUCGGAAUUACUGGACGUAAAGCGCGCGGAGGUGGUUCAGUAAGAUGGGUGUGAAAUCCUCGGGCUUAACCUGGGAACUGCUUUCAUAACUGCGGAGCUAGAGUACGGUAGAGGGUAGUGGAAGUUCCUGUGUAGCGGUGAAAUGCGUAGAUAUAGGAAGGAACACCAGUGGCGAAGGCGACUACCUGGACUGAUACUGACACUGAGGUGCGAAAGCGUGGCGAGCAAAC
rnacentral:rRNA from 1 species